rnacentral:rRNA from 1 species
UGUAUAAGCGAAAAAAUUUAUACGGUGAAACUGCGGAUGGCUCAUUAAAUCAGUUAUAGUUUAUUUGAUAGCUAUUUUACUACAUGGAUAACCGUAGUAAUUCUAGAGCUAAUACAUGCGUAAAACGCAACUCCGCAAGGGGUUGUGUGUAUUUAUUAGAUACCGAAACCAAUUCGCUGCGGCAACGUAGCGAUUGACGGUGAAUCAUAAUAACUCGUUAGAGCUCGAACCGUUCCGGGCCUUGCGCCCGACGGUAAAUCAUUCAAAUUUCUGCCCUAUCAACUUUCGACGGCGGGAUAGAGGCCCGCCGUGGUGGUAACGGGUAACGGGGAAUCAGGGUUCGAUUCCGGAGAGGGAGCCUGAGAAACGGCUACCACUUCUAAGGAAGGCAGCAGGCGCGAAAAUUACCCAAUCCUGAUACAGGGAGGUAGUGACAAUAAAUAACAAUACAAGGCCUUUACGGUUCUUGUAAUUGGAAUGAGUACAAUAUAAAACCCUUAACGAGGAUCAAUUGGAGGGCAAGUCUGGUGCCAGCAGCCGCGGUAAUACCAGCUCCAAUAGCGUAUAUUAAUGUUGCUGUAGUUAAAAAGCUCGUAGUUGGAUUUUUAUGGUCUGGGUGCAUGGCCACUUCACCGGCUACGGUUGGAGAAGUAGGUCUGGUGGAGGCUUCUGACACCUUGUGUGUCGUUGUUUUCUACCCGCUUAGACAUACACGUUGCGAACUAUGAGCCUAGUCAAGUCGGUGUGCUUAACUGUGCGCAGGCGGGGCGUUCCGAGCAAUCGGAGGGUUCGAGUUCCGUUUACUUUGAACAAAAUAGAGUGUUUAAAGCAGGCUCAAAUGUAAGCCUUGAAUAUCCUAGCAUGGAAUAAAACAGCGCAAGACUUCGGUCUUUGAGAAGUUCGGUGCCUAGUGUGCCGGGCGGAUCAGGUUUGUUGGUUUCAAGACCAGAAGUUAAGGAUUAAUAGGGAUAGUUGGGGGCAUUUUUAUUUCAUAGUCAGCGGUGAAAUGCUUGGAUUUAUGAAAGACAAACCUAUGCGAAAGCAUCUGUCAAGGAUGUUUUCAUUAAUCAAGAACGAAAGUUAGGGGAUCGAAGAUGAUUAGAUACCGUCGUAGUCUUAACCAUAAACUAUGCCGACUAGGGAUUAGGGGCCUGCUCCAUUUGGAGCGGUUUCAAACUUUCACACGCUACGCGUGAUGAAACAUCACCCCCUUAGCACCUUAUGAGAAAUCAAAGUCUUUGGGUUCCAGGGGGAGUAUGGUCGCAAGGCUGAAACUUAAAGGAAUUGACGGAAGGGCACCACCAGGCGUGGAGUUUGCGGCUUAAUUUGACCCAACACGGGAAAACUUACCAGGUCCAGACAUAGCGAGGAUUGACAGAUUGAGAGCGCUUUCUUGAUUCUAUGGGUGGUGGUGCAUGGCCGUUCUUAGUUCGUGGAGUGAUUUGUCUGCUUAAUUGCGAUAACGAACGAGACCUUAACCUGCUAAAUAGUUAUGCCUGGGAUUUCAGUGGCGGAAGACUUUUGUCGGAAGCCCACCAGGUAGAUAUACUUCUUAGAGGGACAGCUGGGUUCUAUAAACCAGAGGAAGUUUGAGGCAAUAACAGGUCUGUGAUGCCCUUAGAUGUCGUGGGCUGCACGCGCACUACAAUGAUACAUGCAACAAGUUUCUUGACCCUACUCCGAAAGGAGCGGGUAAUCUUUAAAAGUGUAUCGUACUGGGAAUAGAUGAUUGUAAUUUUUCAUCUUGAACGAGGAAUGCCUAGUAGGGGCAGUUCAUAAUACUGCCCCGAUUACGUCCCUGCCCUUUGUACACACCGCCCGUCGCUGCUACCGAUUGAAUGGUUUAAUGAGAUUCUCGGACUUUGCCGCAAGGCGGAGGAAGUUACUCAAAUUUGAUCAUUUAGAGGAAGCAAAAGUCGC